CUGUUGUGUCCCCCCAGGCUUUGCCAACAGCAAAACCACGGUCAGUCUCGUGCAGGGAUGGGGCAGAGUAGCUGUGGAGCCUGAGCAACGUCCUUCUGAUCGUUACGAAGGCGCAGAGGGGCUCCGUGCCUGCUGGCCAUCGAUGCAAACGUCCCUGUGGAUGUACCUGAACAAAACCCCCGUCUGCAAGUACAGCCGAGGUAGCUGCACCUCCAAGAGGAGCUGGAGCGAAGACCACUGGGAGAGGAGAUGUCCAAGAGACCCAUCUUCGAGCACCUGUCUGCCCUCUGAAGUUCAGGCCCUCCGAGAUGUCCUCAGGGAGAGCCCAGAGGCUUCAGACGAGGUGGGAAAUUUUACAUGAGUGUCACCUCUGUCCUGCUGGGGUCAGCUCUUCAUCACCCUCAUUGGAUUUGGCUUGUCCUUGGAUUUGUGCUGGCGGGGGGAGGCGCGAGCCCUCCACCCUCUGCUGAGCCUCUGAGCGAGCUCCUGCUGCCUGGUGAGGAGCUGUCAGGAUGAUGGAUGUGUUCCUGCUGGAGAAGGAGAGCCCUUCCAGCAUCCCCACACCCCAGCCUGGGGCAUGGCCAGCACUGAAUACUGCUGCUCCACAUCACCUCCUUGCUCUGGAGGACAUAAACCUCUUUGAAGAUCUCUGAAGAUCUCUGAAGCAUCAAGCUGUGGAGAAGAGGCACAAAGCUCCUCAUGGAUCCCAGGAGCAUCUGGUGGUGCAGCAUGGAGCGAUGCUGGAAAGGCAGGAACUCCCACCGGGAAAACUCCCUCCAGAGGUCUCUGACAAGGCUGAUGUCUCCUGGCAGCCUGACCUGGAAGAAGUCCCAUUGCAACUGCAGCACUGCAGCUGUUGAAUUUCCAGCCCAGCGGAAGGAAGAAUGGUUAGCACAAGAAUAAGGCUGAAGGAGCAAUCCUUUCGGAUCAGCCUAUUGACUCAAUUAUUUGGCCCCUUGAUGUCGCAGCGAGCGGCGCCGAGGCCUGAUUGCUGAUGGCAGAGCAUUGUGCAGCGCCCGCUCCCAGCCCUCGCCGGAACACCCUGGAACACCCUGGAACACCCUGGAACACCCUGGAAAGCCAGCAUCUCCCCCACGGGCUGCGUUCGGGCCCUGGUUUUGUUUGUCGGGUGAUGCGCGGGGGGGAGAGAUGUGCUGAGCUGGUGCAGCAAAGGGGUCACGGUUCUCUCCCGGUCACCUUCCUCUGUCUGACCUCCCGGCGUCCCCGCUCCCGGGAUGUUCCAGGCGCAUCGAUCGCCUGGCGCGGAGCGGGGAGGUUGCGUUUACACAGUGUCACAGCUAUCGAUGCUGGCGGCUGGGACGCGUGUCCUUCGCGCUCCCUGCGCCGGGGUGUGAGUGUCCCUGAGCCCCGCGGUGCUGCAGGGGGGUCUGGUGCCCUGGGGGGAGGUGCUGAGCCCGGCCUCGGUGCUGCUUCCAUCCCCCCCCCAUCACCCAGCUCAGGAAUCCUUCCAACAGGGGCUGUGUCACCCGGCAGGAGGGGACAGGGAGUUAAGGGAUGUGGCUCUGGCUCCAUGGAAGUGUGGUUGGGAGGGUUUGGAGCCUGCAGUCCCCUUCAGGCUCGAGCUUUUGAGAUUAAAAAAAAGAGGAAUUCCCCACCCAUCAAAAGGUGGUGGAGGAUGGUGGGAAGUGCUUUGGAUCUUUGGAUGAAAAGGGCUGAGGAGGAACAAGAUGCUGCCGUGCUUUGAAGAUGCAAAGCCAUGUAGAAAUCCUGAGCAGUUUUACCAGUGGCUCAAAUGUGCCACAGGCUUUAAAAAGGCAAAAGUAUCUUCUUUACUUAUUGUUCCUGCUGAUGGCGAAGUUGUGUCAGUGCCUGCAAGUGCCAGGUGCUCUGUGGGCACUGGAGGUGACACAGCCUGGUGUG